rnacentral:rRNA from 2 species
ACGGGAGGCAGCAGUGGGGGAUAUUGGUCAAUGGGGGAAACCCUGAACCAGCGACGCCGCGUGAGGGAAGAAGGUCUUCGGAUUGUAAACCUCUGUCUUCGGUGACGAUAAUGACGGUAGCCGAGGAGGAAGCCACGGCUAACUACGUGCCAGCAGCCGCGGUAAUACGUAGGUGGCAAGCGUUGUCCGGAAUUACUGGGUGUAAAGGGAGCGUAGGCGGGGACGCAAGUUGAAUGUUAAAUUUAUCGGCUCAACCGGUAACUGCGUUCAAAACUGUGUCUCUUGAGUGGAGUAGAGGCAGGCGGAAUUCCCAGUGUAGCGGUGAAAUGCGUAGAUAUUGGGAGGAACACCAGUGGCGAAGGCGGCCUGCUGGGCUCUAACUGACGCUGAGGUUCGAAAGUGUGGGUAGCAAACAGGAUUAGAUACCCUGGUA